UUCCUUCUUCUUCUUCUUUUUUCUUUCCUUCUUUUUUCUUUUCUUUUUCUUUUUCUUUGGU
rnacentral:ribozyme from 14 species